GCAACAGCUCAAAUUUGAAAGCUGGCCCUUUCAGGGUCCGCAUUGUAAUUUGUAGAGGAUGAUUCGGCGAUUUCUCCCGCCUAAGUCCCCUGGGGAACGGGGCGUCAUAGAGGGUGAGAAUCCCGUAUGCGGUGGGCUGCCUUAGCCAUGUGAAUCUCCUUCGACGAGUCGAGUUGUUUGGGAAUGCAGCUCUAAAUGGGAGGUAAAUUUCUUCUAAAGCUAAAUACCGGCCAGAGACCGAUAGCGCACA
rnacentral:rRNA from 1 species